ensembl:miRNA
UGUAAACAUCCUACACUCUCAGCGGUGCCCUCUUUCAGCCGGGAGUGGGAUGUUUGCGCU